GCUGAUUCUCCAAUCAGAAUAUUACAUCAUAUUAUAUACCAGAGAUAUGGUGUGAAUGGGUCUUACAUGUUAUGCCCUAAAAGCCAAUAUAUGUAAGAGGCAACCAUGCUCCAUCUCUCCAAGUGGUAGGCGGGCGAAACUGAUGAGAGCCCAGUUCUGGUGCAAAACUGAAGAAAGGGAUCCGCUUUGCAGCAUUAACUUUAAAUCCAUGUUUUUGCUGUCAGUAAUGCCCCCUUACAAUCAUUUUCUUCCAGAUUCAUUAACUAAUCUUUAAUUUUUACAAACGAAUCUGCUUUUUUCUUUUUCAAUCCUUCUGGUGAUUGUUUUGUUUGGAUUUCAAGUUUCAUAUAUCUCAUCAAAAUAGGAUGGGUGAAGAGAUUCUUUCGCUGAAAUUAAAAAACUAGUUUGAAUUAA